GGCUGCGUGGCUCAAUGGUAGAGCGUCGCCCUCCUAAGGCGAAGGCUGCAGGUUCGAGUCCUGCCGUGGUCG
rnacentral:tRNA from 1 species